rnacentral:rRNA from 1 species
GAUAAACGCUGGCGGCGUGCCUAAAACAUGCAAGUCGAACGGAUCUUGUCCUUCGGGGCGAGGUUAGUGGCGGACGGCUGAGUAACACGUGGGUGACCUGCCCUCGAGCGGGGGAUAACUGCCCGAAAGGGUGGCUAAUACCGCAGAUGUCGCGGCUUCGGUGUCGUGACUGAACCUGAGGGGUUCGGGGAGGGGCCCGCGGUCGAUUAGCUAGCUGGUGGGGUAACGGCCUACCAGGGCGACGAUCGAUAGCUGGUCUGAGAGGAUGAUCAGCCAGACUGGGACUGCGAACGGCCCAGACUCCUACGGGAGGCAGCAGUUAGGAAUUUUGGGCAAUGGGCGAAAGCCUGACCCAGCAACGCCGCGUGGGUGAUGAAGGCCCUCGGGUCGUAAAGCCCUUUUCCCAGGGACGAUAGUGACGGUACCUGGGGAAUCAGCCCCGGCUAACUACGUGCCAGCAGCCGCCGUAACAC